rnacentral:rRNA from 1 species
UAAGGAAUAUUGGACAAUGGGCGCAAGCCUGAUCCAGCCAUCCCGCGUGCAGGAUGAAUGCCCUACGGGUUGUAAACUGCUUUUGAAGGGGAAGAAACCCCUGCUUUUAAGCGGGGCUGACGGUACCUUUCGAAUAAGCACCGGCUAACUCCGUGCCAGCAGCCGCGGUAAUACGGAGGGUGCAAGCGUUAUCCGGAAUCACUGGGUUUAAAGGGUGCGUAGGCGGCUUGGUAAGUCAGGGGUGAAAGCC